CUCACACGCACCCACUUGGAAAGGAGGCAGUACCCAGGGGAACAGAGAACAGCCACCUGACAAAAAGUUCAAAGGAUCACGAAAGGCUGACACGGCGUCAGGCACCAAUGAUUGUUCGUCUAGGCAAGAAUUAAUCAGCAAGAGCUUGACGUGGUGCGGAGAUCACCUUUUCCGUGCCACAAUGCCAGAGGAACAUUUGUUUGCGCCUACAGCUUUGGUUUCUCUGCCGCCUGGUUACAGCCACAGUACACCUGGGAUAGCACCUUUAAGGAUUUACAGCUAAGGAAAUACAUAAAUUAAAGUGGGCAUAAGCUCAGCAGUCUCAGUUUCCCUUUAAUUCAGUACAAGUCAUAAAGAAACAUGUCUAAGCUUUUAUGUGCUUGUCUUCAACAGCAUAGGCUUGAAACCCUUGUCUCUAGCUCAUGACCUGUCCCUGAUUUCAUCUACGUUACUUUUAUAUUCUUCCUAAUCAUCUUUAAAAAAAUAGUUUAUGUUUUGAUGUCUUAGUUCUCUUUCCUUCUUUGAUUGAACAGCAAUGGAAAAUGGUUGUAAACAAAAACUUUUGAGUAGGUAUAUUUUUUUCACCUCCUCAUGUUCUCAGAAUGGCAAACCAAAGCAUUACUUUUCCCUUUCCUGUUCUGUUGCACAGUGAUGUUGUAGUAACAGCAAUAAAUAAAUAAAGCAACUUUA